rnacentral:lncRNA from 1 species
UGGUUUUAGAGCCCUAUUGUUUAAUAACAUUGGAUCCAUCGUUUGGUAAAGAGUCCACUAAUAAUCUUUGACUAAUUUUCCAAUCCCUACUGAAGUCUCUUAGGUGGGAAUUUCCUACCAGAGGUUCUCUCAAUGAUAUGAAGGUAUGAACAAGUGGAGUCGAGUAUGCAGGCAAAACAGCAAAUUCAGUACGUCGAAUCUUACAAAAUCCAGUCAAACUCAAACAAGGGAGCCUUUUGUUCAAUAUCUGGAGAGAAGGUCAAUAAAUCACCCUCUAAGGAAAAGCAUGAGCGUUAUAAAAAGUUAAUUACUAUCAUCAUCAAAUAAAAUGGAUAAAUACUAUCUGGUACUCUAGAAGUAAGGGCAAAGUUGUUUUUUUACGGAGAUAAAAUAAUAUGUGGGUUUUUUCGGACUGGGACGAAACGAGCGAUUAUUUUCGAUUUGUAACAUAUAAUAUAUAACGCCAUCGGCAAACUUUUAGAGGAACAUUUUGUUUUACAUAACAUAAAGAAGGAUGAUUUUUUAACCUUUUAUUCUGGAAAAAAGGAAAAGAUUAUUAAUGGAACUAUUACAAAGGUUCAGCAUAUCUUGUAAGCGAAACGUGCUUCCUCGGAGAAUGAUAUCUCCGGUGUUUUAUCCGUUGUGAAACUUCAGCUUCGUGUUUUAAAACGGAUAGUCCUUUUAUAAACAAACUCUGCAGGUCAGUGUUGUCGUUGUUUUCAAGGUUUUGUCUUUAUAUUUGCGUGAUACGUUAAUUUUUGUUAUAUUCUAUGUACUUGAUUAAAUUUUAGUGUCUUUUUGUUUUAGUAGACGUGUGUAUGUUUAGGUAUAUGGAUUAUUGAUUUCAAUCAUUUUUGUUUUUAUACUACUAUUGAAUUGAAUUAUAGAUAAGCCUUGUUGGCCAAGAGAAAAAAAAAACUUCCAUUAUCAUCGGCGACACCAACCAAAUUCUAAACACGUUAUUUAAAUUUAUAUUCACCAUAGAUUGAUAAAAACAUAAAUGAAAUUAUUUUCUGUAUUAGUAAAAAAUAUAUCUUAUGUUAAUUUGAUAGUUUAUAAUUUUCUUAAAUGAAUGUU